rnacentral:rRNA from 1 species
AUGAAAAAGUUUUUAUAUGAAAAAUCAUCUACUCGAAAAGUUACAUCCGAAUUUAACCAGGGGAACCCCGUUAAACAUUUUCAAAAUCCUCAAAAACCUAACAGAAAAAAAGAAACGGGGCUUUUAAGAUCUGGAGAGGCAAAAGAUUUCAAAAAAUUUCAAAUUGUGGUCAAACUUUGGUCAAACAAUGGUCAAACUAAUUAUUCUAGAAUAUUAGUGUUACUAAAUAAUUAUUUCAGUUUUUUUAAAUUUUGGUCAAAUCUGGUCAAACUGUGGUCAAACAGUGGUCAAACAAUGGUCAAAUUAAAAAAUAUUAGUGUUACUAAAUAA